AGGUGGAACGCGACUCUCAGAAAACGGGCCGGGUCGAAUCCCAGACGGGUGGGGUUUUCGAUAAUUGGGGCAAAGGGUUUCUCUCUUUCCUGCUACGCAGCCGCUCAAGAAGGAGAAGAAAAUCACUCUUCUUCUUCUUUUACUCUUUCAUUUUUCUACGACACUGUCAAAUUUUGAACUGAAAAUGGCUACACUUACCACUCCGCCUACUGCUGUAACAGAUCCACCGGCAGCAGGUUCUAGUCCUGCAGUGGCUGAACCGCAGAAAGUGGAUUACAUGAACCUUCCUUGCCCUAUUCCCUACGAGGAGAUUCACCGCGAAGCUCUCAUGUCUUUGAAGCCAGAACUUUUUGAAGGGAUGCGUUUUGAUUUUACUAAAGGACUCAAUCAGAAAUUUUCACUGAGUCACAGUGUGAUGAUGGGCCCUACAGAAAUUCCUUCUCAGUCAUCUGAAACAAUUAAAAUUCCCACUGCUCACUACGAGUUUGGCGCUAACUUCAUUGACCCAAAGUUGAUGCUUUUUGGGAGGGUAUUGACUGAUGGCAGACUGAAUGCAAGAUUGAAGUGUGAUUUGACCGAGAAUCUUACUUUGAAGGGCAAUGCUCAACUUACACACGAGCCACAUAUGUCGCAUGGCAUGUUCAAUUUUGAUUAUAAGGGAUUGGAUUAUAGGACUCAACUUCAAUUAGGAAAUGGAGCCUUAUUAGGUGCAAGUUACAUCCAGAGCGUGAGCCCUCAUUUGUCAUUGGGUGGUGAGGUCUUCUGGGCUGGUCAACAUCGAAAGUCUGGCAUUGGAUAUGCUGCCCGCUAUAACACAGACAAGAUGGUGGCAACUGGACAAGUUGCUAGCACUGGUAUGGUUGCUCUAAGCUAUGUUCAAAAAGUAUCUGAUAAGGUUUCUCUGGCUUCAGACUUCAUGUACAACUACAUGUCUAGAGAUGUUACAGCCAGCUUUGGUUAUGAUUACAUCCUUCGGCAGUGUCGUCUAAGAGGAAAGAUUGAUUCUAAUGGUUGUGUGGCUGCUCUUCUGGAAGAGAGAUUAAACAUGGGUCUUAAUUUUAUUCUUUCUGCAGAGUCAACAGUUACAUAAUAGCCAAUCAUAAAUUGGAAGUGGGCAACGUGGUGAUGAAUUGCAAUGUUCUAAACCGUCGACUGUCGACUUAUUUAGACCUGCCCAGCAUGCCUGUCCUUUAUCUUACCUUGAGUAGAAAGAGAUAGAUCAUCGGAAGAAAGAUUACAAAUUUGGGUUCGGUCUGACAGUGGGAGAAUAAAAUAGGACGCCUAGCCAUUCCAUAUUUUCAAUAUAAGCUUAUUGUUGGAAGAGCAUCAUUACGAGGAAAUUUGUCUUCACUUGUGAUUAGUAAUAGAGAAUCGGUUUUUGUACUUUUUCGAGGACAGCACAUCUCUGCUACAACGUGCUUAGAAUAGCCUUAGUUGAUUUUGCAACUUGGAAAUAUUUGUUAGUAUCUCCUGCAGAACUGUAGAUUUUAUUGUAUUACAGGAAAAAAAAAAUCUAUUAAUUUGUUAUGGUUGCAUUAACAAGAAGUUGCCUUACAUAUAUGUUA